rnacentral:rRNA from 1 species
CAAUAGCGUAUAUUAAAGUUGUUGCAGUUAAAAAGCUCGUAGUUGGAUUUCUGGUUGAAGCGACCGGUCGGGCGUUGAUUCGUCUGCACUGGAGUCGGUUUUGGCCAUCCUCUAGGAAAGUGCGUCUGGUAUUAAGUUAUCGGGCGUAUGAUCCUGGUCUUUUACUGUGAAAAAAUUAGAGUGUUUAAAGCAGGCCUUCGCCUUGAAUACAUUAGCAUGGAAUAAUAAGAUAGGACUUUGGUCUAUUUUGUUGGUUUGCAGACCGAAGUAAUGAUUAAUAGGGAUAGUUGGGGGUAUUUAUAUUCCGAUGUCAGAGGGGAAAUUCUUAGAUUUUCGGAAGAUAAACUUAUGCGAAAGCAUUUACCAAGGAUGUUUUCAUUA